AGCGAACGCUGGCGGUAUGCUUAACACAUGCAAGUCGAGCGCGAAAGUGACUUCGGUCAUGAGUAGAGCGGCGGACGGGUGAGUAACACGUGGAUAAUCUGCCUUUAGGACUGGGAUAACCCUGGGAAACUAGGGCUAAUACCGGAUAAGACCACAGGUUCCAUGGAACCAGGGGUAAAAGGCGGCCUUCGGGCUGUCGCCGAAAGAUGAGUCCGCGUCCCAUCAGGUAGUUGGUGAGGUAACGGCUCACCAAGCCGAAGACGGGUAGCCGACCUUAGCGGACGACCAGCCACACUGGGACUGAGACACGGCCCAGACUCCUACGGGAGGCAGCAGUGGGGAAUUUUGGACAAUGGGGGCAACCCUGAUCCAGCCAUGCCGCGUGCGGAA
rnacentral:rRNA from 1 species